GGUGACCUUAACAACCCUAUCCUAGAAUGGACGUUCCUGUAGACACUGAACUGAUGGUGAAACCAGCCGGGAAGAGGGGGAAAACAAAAGCUAAAGUGGACAUAGCCAAGGAUGCUGUGCGGAAACAAGCACCUAGCACUACUAAUGGGGGUAAUUGGGUUGUUGUUGCUGAUAAGGUGGAGGUUCAUAUUGCCUUCAACUUUUAGUUUGCCCCCACUGGUAACGCUAGAACAAAUCAUCGUACUUAGCUUUUGUGGUCUCUUAAUUUCCUGCGCUUGUAAGGCAGAUACAACGCUGGUUUGGCACUAUUCCGACAACAAUUCAAAGAAUCAACACAUCACAAUCUCCACACCUAAUGGACGCUAAGUAUGGGAAGGAUCCGCGCCUGGCUGCUGCUGCUGCUACUGGUGCAGCUUGGGCAGUGCGUUUUCUUAAUAGGGGUUGGGCUUCGCUCUCCCCGAAACAGAAGCGCACCGCUCGAUCUGUGCUGGGGUUGCAGAAUCAGCCUGAUGUUAUCGUGCCUGUACGACCUCGUGCUACUGCUCGUGUCGCCAGGCCCACUAGGCAGGGUCCCGGGCUUGCGGGGAAAUCCAUGACAAUUACCAAGUGCGAAUACCUUUCUGACAUUGUCUCUCACGUGGGUACUAUUCCACUAACCGACCAUUGGGUGGUCAAUCCUGGCACCAUUAAGACUUUUCCCCAGACUAGCCUCAUGGCUUCGCAGUUCAACAAGUAUAGGUUGACUGCCCUGAGGGUGCGCUAUACUAGCACCUGUAGCUUUGAGACGUCUGGGCGUGUGGCAAUCGCGUUCACUAACGAUAGUAAUGAUCCACUGCCCACCACCAAGUCGCAGCUGUACAACUUCCCUGUACAUAUCGAGGCAGCUGCGACCGAGUCUAAGGUGCUGACCAUCCCGUGCGAUAACGUUUAUCGGUUUGUGAGGGACGAUGGGGUAUCCGAUCCUAAACUCGUGGAUUUCGGAAGAAUUGUAGUGUGCACGUAUGGAUCGAGCGCUGCGGACCCAGCGACUCUAGGCGAACUCUUUAUUGAGUACACGAUCGUCUUCUCUGAUCCAACCUACACUUCUUCUCUCACACAGCAAGGUGAGAAUCAGCGCAGUAUUGGUCCACGCUACGCCACAGUAGACUACGAGUCCACCCGCUGGGAGUGUCAACUACAAGCAGCUGGUCGAUGGUUGGUCUGCUGGGUAAGUGAUAGCGCCAUCCCUUCCCCUUCGAUCGUGGGGGUAGGAGCUAAGGGUAAGGUGCUAACGAGUUCUGACUCAAAGUGCGGGAUUGCAACCGUUAUUGCUCAAGCUCCGUACUGUUCCAUUGUUUCUACUACUGUAUCGGCCCCGUCAAGCUUGACGUGGUUUGUUGCUCGACUGUGAGGGGACCUACCCACUGUGCUGCCACACAGGAACUUCCAACCUUCGGGUGGCGAGGUAGGGCAGAAGAGUGACUGAACGAGGAUGGUGUAGAGCAAUGGAUGGGGGGGGAGUCCAUGGUGGGCUCCGGCGCGACGAUGCUAAAAUCUCCAUAUCAUGUGUGGAGUGGGCUGCUUAGUCGCUUAUUAGUUGAAAAUUAGGGGGGUCCUUAGGGACCUCUCCCGCCC
rnacentral:misc_RNA from 1 species